UACGGGGGGGGCAAGCGUUGUUCGGAAUUACUGGGCGUAAAGGGCUCGUAGGCGGCCAACUAAGUCGGAUGUGAAAUCCCCAGGCUUAACCUGGGAACUGCAUCCGAUACUGGAUGGCUUGAAUCCGGGAGAGGGAUGCGGAAUUCCAGGUGUAGCGGUGAAAUUCGUAGAUAUCGGGAGGAACACCGGUGGCGAAGGCGGCGACCUGGGUAGAUACUGACGCUGAGGUGCGAAAGCGUGGGGAGCAAACAGG
rnacentral:rRNA from 1 species